GUUGGGGUGGCAGAGCUCGGAUAUUGCGAAAGACCUAAGCCCUUUGAACAGAGGUUCAAGUCCUCUCCCCAACU
rnacentral:tRNA from 2 species